AAAGAGAGAGGCAGAUGGCGACGUGAUCUGCGGGUCGGGGUCGGCUGGCCAGCGAGCUGGCGGUGGCAGAAGCCAGGCACGUCGGUUGCUGGCCGUUAAAAGGAGAGAGGUCGAAAGAGAGAGGGGUUUUUUUUUCCUUUGUUCGAUUCGGAGAGAGAUCUGAGGGAGCUCGGGAGAGUUUUGAGCCAGCGUGAAGGAGCUAGAGAGAGUGAGCUCGAGAGGGUGGCUGGCCGUCGCCGGAGGUCCGUUCAUUGGCUGCCUUCCGCUGCAGCCCUUCCUCCCGAACCAGGUAGGUCUCCCGUGAGCGUGCCUGUUCCGUUUUUGGGCUUCGGACCGGAGCUCGCAGCCGACCAGUUCGCACAAGUUUUGAUCCCAUUGGUCCUCCAUGAGAGUUUCUGUGUGUUCUAGUAUGCGUUGUUAGGAGCCAAGUCCGUGCUAGGGUCGCUAGUAAAUCUGAGUCCCUCGUUUCAGUAGUGCAUGCCAGCCGUUCGUUGAAAUGCUCGAGUGAAUUUCGCGUCUCUCUAGUGGGUUAUGGCCAAGGUCUGAUGUUGUUGUUCAUACUCAUGUCAAACGCGUAUGAUAUGUCUCCGAGUUAGUCCAGAAUGCUGCUUAUAUGUCUAUAUUCGAGCUUGGUCCGAACCUGUAUAGUUCGUGUUUAAACUAGAUCAACCUAUUUUACUUCCCCAUGUUCGCUUUUUGUGUAUUCGCUGUGCUUUGGUGUGAUUUUCGUGAAAUGGCCGUGCACCGUCGAGUUGGCAGGGGUUUUCGCUCGCACCCGAGAGAAUUUUGGUGGCCGCCGGAGAAGAUAGCCAGCGGCGGUCGACGCCGGUUACUCCAGCCGGCGCUGGUAUGUGGUUUAGAUUCGGUGGAAAGCCAGCUUCAGGCGUGCAGAGGGUAAGCACGAAGGAGAAGAAGACAAAGGGGAGGAGGAAAAUAAAAUAAAAAAGUGAAAAAAUAGGGAAAGAGGAAGACAAAAGUGGGCUUCGGGAAGGAGGAGUUGUGGAAGAGAAGGUGCAGGGAAUAGGACAAAAUAGGGAAAAGAUAAAAAGAGAAAAGGAAAGAAAAAAAUAUAAAAUUUUAAAAAAUAUAGAAAAGUUUCUUUCUCAAUCCAACUAGGUCGAAUCGAGGAUUGGGUCGAGUCAGCGAGUCGGCUCCGCUUCAUCCGAACCUUUUUCCACGAAUAUAGUAAAUUUUUAAAAUAUAUUAAAAUUUUUAAAAUUCAAAAAAUUUCAGAAAAUGAAAAAAUUUAAAUUUAAAUUUUCAAAAAAUGAAAAAUAAUAAUUUAAAAAUUCUUUUAAAAAAUUCAAAAACUUUCAGAGAAUAUUAAAAAUUCAAAAAUUCAAAAAUUAAAAAAUUCUCAGAAAAUUUCAAAAUUAGGAAAAGUCUAAAAAAUUUCAGUAGUAAUUAGAAAAAUAACAAAAAAAUUCAAAAAGAUUAAAAAAACCCAGAAUUUUUUGGAAAUUUUUGAAAAUUCAAUAAAUUAAAAAUUCCUCAAAAGGUUAAAAUUAAUCUUUUAGGUUGCUUUCUCCUAAAAAGUGGAAGUGUUUUUUUUUUUUUUCAAUUUAGAAUCAUGCUUAAGGUUUACCGAGCCCAUAGAGCUCUACCUUAGGGUUUCAACUGUCUUUAGAGAUAAAUGCUCUUGAUCGUGUGAUAUUGAUACGUUGAUUUUGGCUUGCUUUUAAUAUAGUAGGAUUAGUAUUUAUCUUUUUCUUAAUGUUAAAUAUUUGCUCUCCCAGGCAAUUUAGGUAACGCUUUCUUUGGCUACUAAUUGUUGUUUUAAUAAUUGUGUACCUGCAUAAUCACUUCAUAUGUUAGUGGAUUAGUCUAAAAUUAAUCCAAAUUACUUUACAAACUUUCUUUUUUAAAAUGAACAACAUUAGGUAUCAAAAUAGCACUAAUUGGGUAAUUAGUAUAAUCAAGUCCAUAACCCUAUAUUCUCUGAUUGUGUAGAAAGUAAGGUAUAGUUCCAUGCCUCACUUGGUUUUUAGCGGACCCCAAUAAGUUAGUGGCAAAUCCUGCACCUCCCAAUGUCGCUUGAGGUAUGAGCUUGGCAUAGUUCACACCUGAUCAUUAGCCAUAGGCCUAUCUUUUAGGCAACAUUGCCUAAACCUAUUACCUCCCCCGAGAGGUAGGUCGCACACUCAUAAAGGGAAAAGCCACAAUAUCGUAUUAGCCAAUCUCUCUAAUAUCCGUAUUAACGUUCCAAAGUUAGAAUGGAAAAAUCAAGUUGCUGCACUAGGUAAUCUCUUAAUUAUCAAUAUCAGAUUAGCAUUUCAAUUAUUAAAGAUAUUACCUCAAUAUAUAAUAGAAAUUAAACCCAUAUAUAAUUAUAAUGGAAAUUACAUGUAUGCCAAUAACAACGAUAAAAGUUCUUUUCUAUAUUUUAACAUGAAAAUUACAAAUAUCUCAUUAGUUAGUUUUAUGCUUGAAUAUUACUUUCUUCAAUCUGACUCCACAGUUCCAUGGGAAACAAUGGACAUGUCAAGCCAAAACACGGAGAAAAAAUAAUGUCUGCUCUUGUAGAUCAUUCUUCCUCUUCAUGCUUCAUGCAAAACAUCGACCAAGGCAUUUACCACUUCAUCUAAUUCUCUCCCUCCUUCAUUUCCGAUGCUAUCGCUCAUUUCUUUGGCCCUCUUCCUCACGCUCUCUCCAUCUUUCUCCACUACCACACCUUUGAUCACCUUCGCUAUCUCCUCUCUCUCUAGCUCUCCGCUCUUAUUCCUCUUGACCUCUAAUCCGACCCCGACCUCUUCGACAAUCCGGGCAUUCAAAGGCUGAUCGAGUUGCAUGGGCAUCGCUAUGAUCGGUACCCCUGACUUCAUGCUUUCCAUGAUAGAGCUCCAUCCACAGUGACUCACAAACCCCCCAAUGCUUGGAUGCUCCAAUAUUUUUGUUUGCGGCGCCCAUCCUUCUCUCACCAGUCCUCUAUCUCCAACUCUUUCCAGGAACCCUGCAGGCAAUGCCUCUUCAAGCUCCAUGCUCUCUCCUAUAGGGAACCUAAUGACCCAAAUGAAGUUGACAUUACUAAGCUCCAAUCCAUAAGCAAUCUCUUCUCUUUCUUUCACGGUGAGAAAAUAUUCUGUGCCACACGAUACAAAGACACUUGAACAUUCUUCUUUUUCGUCAAGCCACUUAAUGAUGUCAUCAUUGCCACCCUCUUCACCAGGGUCUUGGACGAGUGGACCAACGGGGAUGACCUUUUUACCCACAAGACUGGAGAGGUAGUCCAAAUAUUUCCCCUCCAGCUCUCUAAAUGUCUUCAUCAAGAUGAAUCCUGAAGAUCUUCCGGCACAUUGUAGAGCCCUAUCUUUG
rnacentral:lncRNA from 1 species